rnacentral:rRNA from 1 species
AAUCAACGCUGGCGGCGUGCCUAACACAUGCAAGUCGAACGCGAGAGGGCUUCGGCCCUGAUUGAGUGGCAAACGGGUGAGUAACGCGUGGGUGACCUACCUUCGAGUGGGGGAUAACGUUCCGAAAGGGACGCUAAUACCGCAUAACAUCCUGUCUUUGGACAGAUGGAGAUCAAAGCCGGGAUCGUAAGACCUGGCGCUUGAGGAGGG